rnacentral:rRNA from 1 species
UCCAGACUCCUACGGGAGGCAGCAGUGGGGAAUAUUGGGCAAUGGGCGCAAGCCUGACCCAGCAACGCCGCGUGAAGGAAGAAGGCUUUCGGGUUGUAAACUUCUUUUAUUCGGGACGAAGAAAGUGACGGUACCGAAUGAAUAAGCCACGGCUAACUACGUGCCAGCAGCCGCGGUAAUACGUAGGUGGCAAGCGUUAUCCGGAUUUAUUGGGUGUAAAGGGAGCGUAGGCGGCCUGCCAAGUCUGAUGUGAAAUACCGGGGCUCAACCCCGGGGCUGCAUUGGAAACUGACAGGCUGGAGUGUCGGAGAGGCAGGCGGAAUUCCUAGUGUAGCGGUGAAAUGCGUAGAUAUUAGGAGGAACACCAGUGGCGAAGGCGGCCUGCUGGACGAUGACUGACGCUGAGGCUCGAAAGCGUGGGGAGCAAACAGGAUUAGAUACCCCGGUAGC